rnacentral:rRNA from 1 species
UACGGGGGGGGCAAGCGUUGUUCGGAAUUACUGGGCGUAAAGGGCUCGUAGGCGGCCAACUAAGUCAGACGUGAAAUCCCUAGGCUCAACCUAGGAACUGCGUCUGAUACUGGAUGGCUUGAAUCCGGGAGAGGGAUGCAGAAUUCCUGGUGUAGCGGUGAAAUGCGUAGAUAUCUGGAGGAACACCGGUGGCGAAGGCGGCAUCCUGGACCAAUAUUGACGCUGAGGAGCGAAAGCCAGGGGAGCAAACGGG